AGCGGCGGACGGGUGAGUAACGCGUGGGUAACCUGCCCUGUACACACGGAUAACAUACCGAAAGGUAUGCUAAUACGAGAUAAUAUGCUUUUAUCGCAUGGUAGAAGUAUCAAAGCUCCGGCGGUACAGGAUGGACCCGCGUCUGAUUAGCUAGUUGGUAAGGUAACGGCUUACCAAGGCGACGAUCAGUAGCCGACCUGAGAGGGUGAUCGGCCACAUUGGAACAGAGACACGGUCCAAACUCCUACGGGAGGCAGCAGUGGGGAAUAUUGCACAAUGGGCGAAAGCCUGAUGCAGCAACGCCGCGUGAGCGAUGAAGGCCUUCGGGUCGUAAGGCUCUGUCCUCAAGGAAGAUAAUGACGGUACUUGAGGAGGAAGCCCCGGCUAACUACGUGCCAGCAGCCGCGGUAAUACGUAGGGGGCUAGCGUUAUCCGGAAUUACUGGGCGUAAAGGGUGCGUAGGUGGUUUCUUAAGUCAGAGGUGAAAGGCUACGGCUCAACCGUAGUAAGCCUUUGAAACUGGGAAACUUGAGUGCAGGAGAGGAGAGUGGAAUUCCUAGUGUAGCGGUGAAAUGCGUAGAUAUUAGGAGGAACACCAGUUGCGAAGGCGGCUCUCUGGACUGUAACUGACACUGAGGCACGAAAGCGUGGGGAGCAAACAGGAUUAGAUACCCUGGUAGUCCACGCCGUAAACGAUGAGUACUAGCUGU
rnacentral:rRNA from 1 species